rnacentral:lncRNA from 1 species
UUUUUUUUUUUUUUUUUUUUUUUUUUUUUGAGACAGAGCCUCACUCUGUUGCCCAGACUAGAGGGCAGUGGCACGGUCUUGGCUCCCUGCAACCCCCACCUCCUGGGUUCAAGCGAUUCUCCUGCCUCAGCUUCCCAAGUAGCUGGGACUAGAGGGAUGCGCCACCAGGCCUGGCUAAUUUUUGUAUUUUUAGUAGAGAUGGGGUUUCACCAUGUUGGCCAGGCUGGUCUCGAACUCCUGAAAUAUUAUCCCCCCCAUUCCCCAGUUUUUUUAGAUAACUCGUUUUUAGUGUGACUUCAGAAGAGACUGGGCAUGACACAGAUUAUUUUUUGUAGCUUUUUUGUGUAGGUGGGUGAUUGGUGUAAGGUUUAGGAGAACAAAAAAGGACAGGUAAAUCAAUAUUAACAGGGAGCUCGGUACCCCUGCUUCUAGAAUUUGACCAACAAAGUGAAAUUUACAAGUAGUUUGCUGGUUUAUUAUCAAAUUAACCUGUGUUUACUAAUGGGUAGUGUCAUGUAGCUUUGAUCUCAAUUCUCAAAACGGUUUUGUAGACUCUGGUUGGAAUCCCACUUUUUCUCAAGUAAUGAGCUUUCUAGGUCUGUUGUUCUGAAUCAGAUUUUGAUACCUUUUGGUUUAGUAGGUGUCUGCUACCAGGUGAGUUAAUUUCUCUUCCUUGGGUCCUGGGUUUCCUUUUUUGUCUGUUUCUUUCCUAACCUUCGAUGUGUAUAGGGUUGCAAGUCAUGUAAGCAUAAUACUCUUUACAUCCUGGGAUAGUAUUUGCUUCUUUGUACUUGGUUGUGCACAGUUGAGAAUACAGUGUGGGUGUGGAACACCUGUCCAGGUGCCAGUUCAUGCUGACAGUUUUGAAAGGUAGUCUCAUUAGAAUCCAGUUAUUAAGCCUGUCUGUUGUAUACAUGAGAAACUAAUUUAGUCUCUGCUUUUACUAUUUUAGUGCUUGGGAAAGUUUCUUUUUGUAAUUAAGACUAGUACUUUAAACGUAUGUUUAGGGCCUUUGAGGUAUUAGGAAUUUUGGAAACUGGAAAGAUACAAUCUUUCUAUCACAGUAUUUGUGUUGAUCCUGAAAUGUCUGAGUUUAUUUUGUUUGGAGUGAGUUUAACCUGAAAUGUCAAAACCUAGAUCCAUAAUAUAGCAUCACAUCUCAAUAAAUUUAUUUGGAAGCAGUUUCUUAA